UUCCCCUGCCUCGUAUAGGUCCUGGACAUCCUGUUGUACCAGGUCCUCGCUCACUACGUCAUCCUCCUCCCUGGUUCCCUGGAGCAGGACCACAAGCAUCUUCUGGAAGUGGCCAGAGGUGUCGCCGAUGAUGUCAGCCUCCAGGUCCCGCUCGUAGGCAUCUUUGUAUGCUGCCACCAGCUGGUGCAUCUGCUCAUUGGUCCGGGAAGCCAAGAUCUCAAUGAGGCACUUCUCAUCAGUGCCAAUGCCCGAGAUGGCAUCUUUAAUUUCUUUGGCAUCACAAUAGGCAGGUGGCCUCAUCAGGCCCACAAUCAACCGUUCAAACUUG
rnacentral:misc_RNA from 1 species